rnacentral:rRNA from 1 species
UGUCGACCUCAGAUCAGACGAGAUCACCCGCUAAAUUUAAGCAUAUCAAUAAGCGGUGGAAAAGAAACGAAAACGAAUUCUCCGAGUAGCGGCGAGCGAAACGAGAGCAGUCCAUACACCGAAGUCGGCGAGCAGUUGUGUUCGUCAACAGUGUGGUGUUAAAGGUGUCGUUGCAUGUGCUGAAAUCGGUUCGUAGGCUCCCUUGAUUGGGGCUUCAGAGCGGGUGCAGGACCCAUAACGAACGAUGUUUUGUGCAUGGUGUCGCGGCUCCUAAUCGAGUCGGGUUGCUUGAGACUGCAGCCCAAAGCGGGUGGUAAAUCUCACCCAAGACUAAAUAUUCGUACGAGACCGAUAGCGAACAAGUACCGCGAGGGAAAGUUGAAAAGAACUCUGAAGAGAGAGUUCAACAGGACGUGAAACCGUUGACAGGCAAACGGAUGGAGCUGACGGUGCAAUUUUGACCAAAAUCAGUCGUCGCUGUGUUCGUUGGCGAAUGAAUCUUUUGCAAACUUGUUUGUGUAGAUUAUCUUUCGUUUCGAAUGUACGCACGGUGCACUUUUGGUCGAUUAGCGUCACGAGCAACGUUCGCAUUUUUUGCUGCCGACAGUAAUUGUGUUUGUUGUUUUAAAAGCAACAAACAAUAAAGGCGGUUUGUGGAAGAGGUAAUUGUGGUAAAGACUUGUGCUUUUGUCUCAAUUGCCGUGCCAAUGCCGCAUCUGUCGGAUGAAUGUUGUUGUUGACAAGUUGAAGAGCAUUGUUCUGCGUACAAUUGUAAUGGGUCUGUUGGUGCCGUUGCGUUCGUGGGUUUCGGCUCACGAUUUGUCUGGUACGUCGGGAAAAAAGUCAAUUAUGAAUGUAAUUGAUCUGGCUACCGUGCGUAACGGUAUUCAAAUGUGUGUAUGAUGGACUUUAUUUGCAAUCGGCGCUCAAUGUGUUUUCUUUUAUCGGUGGCGUCAAUGUUAGCCUCCCAUCCGACCCGUCUUGAAACACGGACCAAGGAGUUCAGUAGGCACGCGAGUCGUUGACGUUUUUCAUUGAACAGUCGAAGGCGAAAUGAAAGUGUUCAUGAAAAUGAACAGUACUUUUCUAUGGAGUGCUGCUCGUUUUCAACAUGAUCGUCCUUUUUUGUGCUUAAUUGUGCAAAAUUGAUAGAUGGGGACGCGCAGUGUGGUGCCGUUGAAUAGUCGCACUGUUCUUUCUUUCUCUUCGGGGUUGGAGGAACAAUUGUCGAUCAGUCGGUUUCGGAGCGUGCACACUGGUACCCGAAAGAUGGUGAACUAUGCUUGAGCAGAAUGAAGCCAGAGGAAACUCUGGUGGAAGUUCGUAGCGGUGUUGACGUGCAAAUCACUCGUCUGACUUGAGUGUAGGGGCGAAAGACUAAUCGAACCAUCUAGUUGCUGGUUCCUUCCGAAGUUUCCCUCAGGAUAGCUGGCAUUUGUUUGUAACAAUUUUAUCCGGUAGAGCGAAUGAUUAGAGGUGUUGGGAACGCAAUGUUCUCAGCCUAUUCUCAAACUUCGAAUGGGUAAGCAAGGCGUUUUGCUUUGAUUUUACGAUGAAAUCGCCCAAUUAGAAUGCAUAAAUGCCUAGUGGGCCAAUUUUGGUAAGCAGAACUGGCGAUGUGGAAUGAACCAAAAGUCAGGUUAAGGUGCCAGACAUUGGCGCUCAUGAAAUACCAGAAAAGGUGUUGGUCGAUAUAGACAGCAGGACGGUGGCCAUGGAAGUUGGAAUCCGCCAAGGAGUGUGUAACAACUCACCUGCCGAAUCGACUAGCCCUGAAAAUGGAUAGCGUUUGAGCGCCAGGCCCAUACCUGACCGUCUCAAUUACGCACUUUUUUCUUUUUUGAAAAAGGUGUAAUGAACGUUGAGACGGGUAGGAAGGUCGCGACAGUGUUGCUUUGAAGAGUUUUGAGCGUGAGCUCGCUCGGAGCCGCUGUUGGUGCAGAUCUUGGUGGUAGUAGCAAAUAUUCAAGUGAGAACCUUGAAGGCUGAAGUGGAGCAAGGUUCCAUGUGAACAGCAGUUGGACAUGGGUCAGUCGAUCCUAAGAAAACGGCGAAAGCUUGUUCGAAUUUGCGACAUGAAUUGUAAGACUGUGUGUGUUUAUUGUGUGUGCGUGUGCAGUUGUCGUAUGUUUUCGAAAGGGAAUCCGGUUGAUAUUCCGGAACCGAGUAACGGAGACAAAGAGUAGCGCUUUAAUCUCUCUGUGGGGUUGGCGUUCAACUCAAUCGCGCGGUAACGCAAGCGAACUCGGAAAAUGACCGUCGUGAGUUUCGAAAAGAGUUUUCUUUUCUUUUUAAGGGACGCAUUCCCUGGAACCGGGUUGUCCGGAGAUAGGGAUUCUGGUAUCCAUAAAACGCCGACUUUUUCACGGUGUUCGGAGCGCUCUCGUCGGUACGUGAAAAUCCGAGCGACGCCUGGUAAAUCUCGUACUUGGUCGUACUGAUAUCCGCAGCAGGUCUCCAAGGUGAAUAGCCUCUGGCCGAUAGAAUAAUGUAGGUAAGGGAAGUCGGCAAAACGGAUCCGUAACUUCGGAACAAGGAUUGGCUCUAAGGGCUGGGCCGAUCGGGCUGAGGUUUCAAGCGUGCAGUGUAUGCUUGGCUGAGUUGUGUUGAGGACUUGUUCACUUGCCGCCGUUUGUUCGGUUGGUCUAGUGUAUUCGAGUCUGAAGCAGAGCUGGCCGACAGACCGGCACGUGCAGAACCUGAGCUGCGCGGCUGUCCGUUUACGUGUACAGACCGUUUCGGUCGGCAUUCAACAGCCAACUUAGAACUGGCACGGACACAAGGAAUCUGACUGUAUAAUUAAAACAAAGCAUUGCGAUGGCCGAUGAUCGGUGAUGACGCAAUGUGAUUUCUGCCCAGUGCUCUGAAUGUCAAAGUGAAGAAAUUCAAUCAAGCGCGGGUAAACGGCGGGAGUAACUAUGACUCUCUUAAGGUAGCCAAAUGCCUCGUCAUCUAAUUAGUGACGCGUAUGA